ACUAAUCACUAAUAGACAUCCAUACAUUCCAGAGAUGACACACAUCAUUAGUUUUAUUGCCCCACAAAGCAGCUCAUUUUCCAGUUCCAUUCCCCAUUUGGGGAGAUGUACAUGCAUUGUGUGAGUGUGAUAAAAGCCAUGUUGUGGGGAGUAGAGAUGAUGUACAUGCAUUGUGUGAGUGUGAUAAAAGCCAUGUUGUGGGGAGUAGAGAUGAUGUACAUGCAUUGUGUGAGUGUGAUAAAAGCCAUGUUGUGGGGAGUAGAGAUGAUGUACAUGCAUUGUGUGAGUGCGAUAAAAGCCAUGUUGUGGGGAGUAGAGAUGAGAGAAUAGAGGUCAUGUUGUGGGGAGUAGAGAUGAGAGAAUAGAGGCCAUGUUGUGGGGAGUAGAGAUGAGAGAAUAGAGGUCAUCUUGUGGGGAGUAGAGAUGAGAGAAUAGAGGCCAUGUUGUGGGGAGUAGAGAUGAGAGAAUAGAGGCCAUGUUGUGGGGAGUAGAGAUGAGAGAAUAGAGGUCAUGUUGUGGGGAGUAGAGAUGAGAGAAUAGAGGUCAUGUUGUGGGGAGUAGAGAUGAGAGAAUAGAGGUCAUGUUGUGGGGAGUAGAGAUGAGAGAAUAGAGGUCAUGUUGUGGGGAGUAGAGAUGAGAGAAUAGAGGUCAUGUUGUGGGGAGUAGAGAUGAGAGAAUAGAGGUCAUGUUGUGGGGAGUAGAGAUGAGAGAAUAGAGGCCAUGUUGUGGGGAGUAGAGAUGAGAGAAUAGAGGCCAUGUUGUGGGGAGUAGAGAUGAGAGAAUAGAGGUCAUGUUGUGGGGAGUAGAGAUGAGAGAAUAGAGGUCAUGUUGUGGGGAGUAGAGAUGAGAGAAUAGAGGUCAUGUUGUGGGGAGUAGAGAUGAGAGAAUAGAGGUCAUGUUGUGGGGAGUAGAGAUGAGAGAAUAGAGGUCAUGUUGUGGGGAGUAGAGAUGAGAGAAUAGAGGUCAUGUUGUGGGGAGUAGAGAUGAGAGAAUAGAGGUCAUGUUGUGGGGAGUAGAGAUGAGAGAAUAGAGGUCAUGUUGUGGGGAGUAGAGAUGAGAGAAUAGAGGUCAUGUUGUGGGGAGUAGAGAUGAGAGAAUAGAGGUCAUGUUGUGGGGAGUAGAGAUGAGAGAAUAGAGGUCAUGUUGUGGGGGAGUAGAGAUGAGAGAAUAGAGGCCAUGUUGUGGGGAGUAGAGAUGAGAGAAUAGAGGCCAUGUUGUGGGGAGUAGAGAUGAGAGAAUAGAGGCCAUGUUGUGGGGAGUAGAGAUGAGAGAAUAGAGGCCAUGUUGUGGGGAGUAGAGAUGAGAGAAUAGAGGCCAUGUUUUGGGGAGUAGAGAUGAGAGAAUAGAGGCCAUGUUGUGGGGAGUAGAGAUGAGAGAAUAGAGGCCAUGUUGUGGGGAGUAGAGAUGAGAGAAUAGAGGCCAUGUUGUGGGGAGUAGAGAUGAGAGAAUAGAGGUCAUGUUGUGGGGAGUAGAGAUGAGAGAAUAGAGGUCAUGUUGUGGGGAGUAGAGAUGAGAGAAUAGAGGUCAUGUUGUGGGGAGUAGAGAUGAGAGAAUAGAGGUCAUGUUGUGGGGAGUAGAGAUGAGAGAAUAGAGGUCAUGUUGUGGGGAGUAGAGAUGAGAGAAUAGAGGUCAUGUUGUGGGGAGUAGAGAUGAGAGAAUAGAGGUCAUGUUGUGGGGAGUAGAGAUGAGAGAAUAGAGGUCAUGUUGUGGGGAGUAGAGAUGAGAGAAUAGAGGUCAUGUUGUGGGGAGUAGAGAUGAGAGAAUAGAGGUCAUGUUGUGGGGAGUAGAGAUGAGAGAAUAGAGGCCAUGUUGUGGGGAGUAGAGAUGAGAGAAUAGAGGUCAUGUUGUGGGGAGUAGAGAUGAGAGAAUAGAGGUCAUGUUGUGGGGAGUAGAGAUGAGAGAAUAGAGGUCAUGUUGUGGGGAGUAGAGAUGAGAGAAUAGAGGUCAUGUUGUGGGGAGUAGAGAUGAGAGAAUAGAGGUCUUGUUGUGGGGAGUAGAGAUGAGAGAAUAGAGGUCAUGUUGUGGGGAGUAGAGAUGAGAGAAUAGAGGUCAUGUUGUGGGGAGUAGAGAUGAGAGAAUAGAGGUCAUGUUGUGGGGAGUAGAGAUGAGAGAAUAGAGGUCAUGUUGUGGGGAGUAGAGAUGAGAGAAUAGAGGUCAUGUUGUGGGGAGUAGAGAUGAGAGAAUAGAGGUCAUGUUGUGGGGAGUAGAGAUGAGAGAAUAGAGGCCAUGUUGUGGGGAGUAGAGAUGAGAGAAUAGAGGCCAUGUUGUGGGGAGUAGAGAUGAGAGAAUAGAGGCCAUGUUGUGGGGAGUAGAGAUGAGAGAAUAGAGGUCAUGUUGUGGGGAGUAGAGAUGAGAGAAUAGAGGUCAUGUUGUGGGGAGUAGAGAUGAGAGAAUAGAGGCCAUGUUGUGGGGAGUAGAGAUGAGAGAAUAGAGGUCAUGUUGUGGGGAGUAGAGAUGAGAGAAUAGAGGUCAUGUUGUGGGGAGUAGAGAUGAGAGAAUAGAGGUCAUGUUGUGGGGAGUAGAGAUGAGAGAAUAGAGGUCAUGUUGUGGGGAGUAGAGAUGAGAGAAUAGAGGUCAUGUUGUGGGGAGUAGAGAUGAGAGAAUAGAGGCCAUGUUGUGGGGAGUAGAGAUGAGAGAAUAAAGGUCAUGUUGUGGGGAGUAGAGAUGAGAGAAUAGAGGUCAUGUUGUGGGGAGUAGAGAUGAGAGAAUAGAGGUCUUACUGUACUCUCCUGUCUGGCACUCGGACAUGAAAGGAACAGAUUUCCCUUCAUUGUUUUCUGAGCCUUGCUCUGUGACUGCUAGCUGUGCAGAUUCUGCCUCCAUAAAAAGGGUUAUAGUGCAGAUUCUGCCUCCAUACAAAGGGUUACAGUGCAGAUUCUGCCUCCAUACAAAGGGUUACAGUGCAGAUUCUGCCUCC